UACGUAGGGGGCGAGCGUUGUCCGAAGUUACUGGGCGUAAAGCGCGCGUAGGCGGAUCUUUAAGUCAGAGGUGAAAUCUCAGGGCUCAACCCUGAAACUGCCUUUGAAACUGGGGAUCUUGAGGUAUGGAGAGGUAAGUGGAAUUCCUGGUGUAGCGGUGAAAUGCGUAGAUAUCAGGAGGAACACCCGUGGCGAAGGCGGCUUACUGGUCAUAUCCUGACGCUGAGGUGCGAAAGCCAGGGGAGCGAACGGG
rnacentral:rRNA from 1 species